GACGAACGCUGGCGGCGUGCUUAACACAUGCAAGUCGAACGGAAAGGCCCUGCUUUUGUGGGGUGCUCGAGUGGCGAACGGGUGAGUAACACGUGAGUAACCUGCCCUUGACUUUGGGAUAACUUCAGGAAACUGGGGCUAAUACCGGAUAGGAGCUCCUGCUGCAUGGUGGGGGUUUGAAAGUUUCGGCGGUUGGUGAUGGACUCGCGGCUUAUCAGCUUGUUGGUGGGGUAGUGGCUUACCAAGGCUUUGACGGGUAGCCGGCCUGCGAGGGUGACCGGCCACAUUGGGACUGAGAUACGGGCCAGACUCCUACGGGGGGCAGCAGUGGGGAAUAGUGCACAAUGGGCGGAAGCCUGAUGCAGCAACGCCGCGUGCGGGAUGACGGCCUUCGGGUUGUAAACCGCUUUCGCCUGUGACGAAGCGUGAGUGACGGUAAUGGGUAAAGAAGCACCGGCUAACUACGUG
rnacentral:rRNA from 1 species